rnacentral:misc_RNA from 1 species
UGAAAAACUAGUAUGAUAUGCUAUGCAUCCAUUUUGCUGUGUUCCAACAAUUAACAACAAUUGCCAAUCUUCACCGUUACCGAUGGCUCCGCCGCCGGCGCCGGAAUUUACUAGAUCGGCUGACUCACUCAACCGCUCUGCUAGCGGGAGUUACAAUCAUAAUUGGACUGUAAGUAACUCCAAUCAUCACCGUCAUCGCAGUUUGACCGAGUCAUCCUCGUCAACGCCGGCGAUUUUCACUUCUUUAUCACGGCCAACUUCUAUGAGGGAGGUGAUUCAGUUGACGUGUGCUGCAUCCGCUGGCGAUCAAGUCAAGAUCAACGACAUCGUUGGGAAUGGUAUAUCCGGAAUUUUACACAAGUGGGUUAACUAUGGAAAGGGAUGGAGACCUAGGUGGUUCGUCUUGCAGGAUGGAGUUUUAUCCUAUUAUAAGAUCCAUGGACCGGAUAGGAUUGUUGUCAAUUCGGAGACUGAGAAAGGAUCUAAAGUUAUUGGUGAAGUCUCACUUAGGAGAAUCUCCAGGAACAAGACGAAUGCAACUUCUCAAGCUCGCCGCAAGCCUGUUGGUGAAGUUCAUCUCAAGGUCUCAUCCAUCCGUGAGAGUAGAUCAGAUGACAGGAGGUUUUCGAUUUUCACUGGAACAAAGAGGCUGCACCUGAGGGCUGAGACAAGAGAGGACAGAAUAGCAUGGAUGGAAGCAUUGCAGGCUGUGAAAGAUAUGUUCCCCAGAAUGUCCAACAGUGAAUUAAUGGCUCCCGUGGACGAUGUAGCUGUCUCAACAGAUAAGUUGAGGCAACAACUGAUGAAGGAGGGUGUGAGUGAGUCUGCUAUUCAGGAGAGUGAGCUGAUAAUGAGGAAUGAGUUUGCAUCUUUGCAGAAUCAACUGAUGCUACUCAAGCAAAAGCAUCGGAUGCUUAUGGACACCUUGAGACAGUUAGAGACAGAAAAGGUCGAUUUAGAGAAUACUGUGGUUGAUGAGAGUCAAAGGCAGUGUAAAGAGGUCGGACCAUCUGCUCAAUUAAGGCAAGAUAAAUACAGUGAAGCAAGUGCAAGUGAAUCGGAGGAUGACAAUGAAAGAGUUGAUGCUGCUGAGGAAGAUACUGAUGAUGAAGAGAACACUUUCUUUGACACUAAAGAUUUUCUUUCAUCAAGCUCUUUUAAAAGCAGUGGUUCUGAUUUUCGAACAUCAUCUUUCUCCUCGGAUGAUGAUGAUUUGUAUGCAUAUGCAUCUGAUGAAAGUGUCGAUCCUAUUAUUAGAUCUGCUGGAACCAAGUUUCCUUAUGUUAAGCGUCGUAAGAAAUUGCCUAAUCCCAUUGAGAAAGAGAAAGGAGUCAGUUUAUGGUCGAUGAUCAAAGACAAUAUUGGGAAGGAUCUCACAAAAGUGUGCCUCCCUGUCUACUUCAAUGAACCCCUUUCUUCUUUGCAAAAAUCAUUUGAAGACUUGGAGUACUCAUACCUUCUUGAUCGGGCUUCUGAAUGGGGAAGAAGGGGUGACAACCUUAUGAGGAUUCUCAAUGUAGCAGCGUUUGCCGUAUCUGCAUAUGCUUCUACUGAAGGAAGGAUUUGCAAACCAUUCAAUCCGUUGUUAGGGGAGACUUAUGAGGCUGAGUAUCCAGAUAAAGGCCUUCGGUUUUUCUCAGAAAAGGUAAGUCAUCAUCCCAUGAUAAUAGCAUGCCAUUGUGAGGGUACAGGAUGGAAAUUCUGGGGAGAUAGCAAUUUGAAAAGCAAAUUUUGGGGUCGCUCAAUCCAGUUGGAUCCUGUUGGUAUAUUGACUCUUGAAUUUGAUGAUGGGGAAAUCUAUCAGUGGAGCAAGGUAACUACAUCGAUAUACAAUCUGAUUUUGGGGAAACUAUAUUGCGAUCACUAUGGUACAAUGCGCAUACAAGGAAAUCGUAAUUACUCUUGUAAGCUGAAAUUCAAGGAGCAAUCAAUAAUAGACCGGAAUCCACAUCAGGUUCAGGGAAUAGUUCAAGACAGGAGUGGGAAGACAGUAGCUACAUUAUUUGGGAAGUGGGA